rnacentral:rRNA from 1 species
UACGUAGGGUGCAAGCGUUAAUCGGAAUUACUGGGCGUAAAGCGUGCGCAGGCGGCUUUGCAAGACAGAUGUGAAAUCCCCGGGCUUAACCUGGGAACUGCAUUUGUGACUGCAUGGCUAGAGUGCGGCAGAGGGGGAUGGAAUUCCGCGUGUAGCAGUGAAAUGCGUAGAUAUCCGGAGGAACACCAGUGGCGAAGGCGACUUUCUGGCCUGUUCUUGACGCUGAGGCGCGAAAGCUAGGGGAGCAAACGGG